rnacentral:lncRNA from 1 species
CUGACCUGAGUGCACGCUUGAUUCUUCUCUUCAUUUUCAUUAUGAUGAAAACAUAUCUGUGUGUUUGCCUUCUGUCUGCUGUCGUGGACGUGCAGGCUAAGAUCAACAUAAAGGGCAGUGUUGGGCAAAAUGUGACAGCUACAUGUUUAGGUUGGAACGUUUGGCUUAGUGAUGUAAAAACUAACGAUAAGUACAUUUGUAGAAGUCCCUGCACAGAACAAAAACACAUCAUCACCCAAGCAGCAUACAAAAAGACUAAACGUAAGGACAGAAUAGAGAUAACUAACUCUGAUGAAGGUUUAUUUGUGACCUUCUUUAAUCUGCAAAAGUCAGAAUCUGGAACGUAUUACUGUGGAGUUGAGAGAUAUGGUAGGGAUUCAUUUAUAGAGGUAAACCUUAAAGUCACAGAUGCUGAACAUUCAAAGCACAGGACCCCUGCUGUAACUGUCAUUGUUACACCUACUGUGUCAUCUGCUGUGUUAACAAACAUCACUGUGUCCAACGGCUCAAACACUGUCACAGAUUCACCGCCGACCUCAUACAUAACAACUUCUGCGUCAGUGAUGCAACAAUUUGGUAAGAAGCACACUUGAUUUUAAGUCAUACUUAAUAUAUUGACCUUUUAUCACAGCCAUAGAUUUGCUUAAACUUACUCCUAUUUUGAGUCUGACCUCU